UACGUAGGGGGCUAGCGUUGUCCGGAUUUAUUGGGCGUAAAGAGCGUGUAGGCGGCCAGGUAGGUCUGGUGUGAAAACUCGAGGCUUAACCUCGAGAUGUCAUCGGAAACCAUCUGGCUAGAGUCCGGAAGAGGAGAGUGGAAUUCCUGGUGUAGCGGUGAAAUGCGCAGAUAUCAGGAAGAACACCAAUGGCGAAGGCAGCUCGCUGGGACGGUACUGACGCUAAGGCGCGAAAGCGUGGGGAGCAACAGG
rnacentral:rRNA from 1 species